rnacentral:rRNA from 1 species
UGCAGUCGAACGGCAGCACAGAGGAGCUUGCUCCUUGGGUGGCGAGUGGCGGACGGGUGAGGAAUACAUCGGAAUCUACUCUGUCGUGGGGGAUAACGUAGGGAAACUUACGCUAAUACCGCAUACGACCUACGGGUGAAAGCAGGGGAUCUUCGGACCUUGCGCGAUUGAAUGAGCCGAUGUCGGAUUAGCUAGUUGGCGGGGUAAAGGCCCACCAAGGCGACGAUCCGUAGCUGGUCUGAGAGGAUGAUCAGCCACACUGGAACUGAGACACGGUCCAGACUCCUACGGGAGGCAGCAGUGGGGAAUAUUGGACAAUGGGCGCAAGCCUGAUCCAGCCAUACCGCGUGGGUGAAGAAGGCCUUCGGGUUGUAAAGCCCUUUUGUUGGGAAAGAAAUCCAGCCGGCUAAUACCUGGUUGGGAUGACGGUACCCAAAGAAUAAGCACCGGCUAACUUCGUGCCAGCAGCCGCGGUAAU